rnacentral:rRNA from 1 species
AGUGAACGCUGGCGGUAGGCCUAACACAUGCAAGUCGAACGGCAGCACAGUAAGAGCUUGCUCUUACGGGUGGCGAGUGGCGGACGGGUGAGGAAUACAUCGGAAUCUACUUUUUCGUGGGGGAUAAUGUAGGGAAACUUACGCUAAUACCGCAUACGACCUACGGGUGAAAGCAGGGGAUCUUCGGACCUUGCGCGAUUGAAUGAGCCGAUGUCGGAUUAGCUAGUUGGCGGGGUAAAGGCCCACCAAGGCGACGAUCCGUAGCUGGUCUGAGAGGAUGAUCAGCCACACUGGAACUGAGACACGGUCCAGACUCCUACGGGAGGCAGCAGUCGCGAAUAUUGGACAAUUGGCGCAAGCCUGAUCCGGCCAUACCGCGUGGGUGAAGAAGGCCUUCGGGUUGUAAAGCCCUUUUGUUGGGAAAGAAAAGCAGCAGGUUAAUACCCCGCUGUUCUGACGGUACCCAAAGAAUAAGCACCGGCUAACUUCGUG